GAAUUUAUGAUUCAGCAUAAAUUCGGUUAUUAGUGUAAGCAUUGAUUACUUGUGUUAUUAGCUGUUUCACCUCUAUUAAAUGUAGGCUAUCAGAUGAUUGUUGGUCAAUGCGCAAUAUGACUGCGCACGCGAUCUUUUUCAUUCCGACAUUUGAAAGAAACAGACGGAAUAUUAUUUGGUGAUUUAAAGAAAAUUAUUUUGGUGAUUAAAAAGAUAUAGGAUCCACAUUGUGCAGGUUUUGGUACCACUUUUCUACAAUUGGAACUCAGUUGUUUGGCACUAAGAUGAAUACAAGAAGGUCAUCAAAAAGAUGGAAAGCCACUGCAACAUUAGGAGCUGUAUCAAGACAAGAGGAAACACAACUUGAACCAGGUUCAUUACCAGCAUCUAACGAUCCCCCAACUUCAGGAGGAUAGUUGUUCUUUUGAUGUAGUAAAUCGACCAGGUAAUGCAAUCGGUAAAGAUCAUUCAAAUCUCACGCAAACAACUAGUUACUCUCCUAGUCUUGAUUAAGAUGUUAGUCAGUACUUAAAAUAAAAUCAAAAAAUCAAACGGGCGAGUAUGUCAUCUUUGUUCUACUUAGGAACAACUUUAUAAUUGAUAAUGACCAGCAAAAAGUGUCAUAUGAACAGGGGAAACUUGUUAUUGAACCAGUUUUGCCUCAUACAAAAAUAACAAAUAAAGAAAUUGAACUUGAGUAUAAAUAUAUUGUUGCUGAGAUACUUUUGCAGUGGAAUUAAGCUCGAUAUAAAGUUCGACUGUUUGGGACUAGGCAUUCGACAACUUUGUUAAUAUAGCAGUAUUAUUAUAUCCUCAAUCGAUUUGGCUGUCAUUAAAACGAAUAUUAUGUUAUCUACGUUUAAUGUUUACAAUAUAUACUUGAUAUUCCUUGUACAACUGUUCACAUUAUUUAACACACAUUUCGAUGUUUCUCUUUCGAAUACAAAAUCUUUCUAAUUAGAUACGUUACAGUUUGAGAUAAUAAACUCCUAACGUAAUGUAUCUACAAGCUGCGAUGCCGAUUACGAUUUGAACUUUUCUUGACCUUAGAAAUGAUAUAUAGUAAAUGUAAGGAAACCGUUAACUCUCUGAGAUUGUAUAUUCAUGUCAACGAUUUGCAGACGAUAAUCUUAUAAAAGAUUAAAACUUUUGGUGAUCAAGUUUGUAAAAGUAACUUGUAAAAGAAAAUAGUGUACAAACGAUCUCUACGCUAAUGAUUAAUACUAAUAUAAAUAAAAAAAAAAAAAAAAAAUUAUUCUAACAAAUGAACUAAAUUACAAAUAAUAUUGUCAUCUCGCCAGAUAUCAAGAAAAAUAUAUAUAUUAUUGAACUCUAUUUAAUUUUAUCUAAGACUGACCAGUGAUUCGAAGGAACCACACACGUUAUUGAUGAGCGGCCUAGAGAAAUAUCCUAUUUUUGCUUAAACGAAAUAACUUACUAUUUACAAGUUUAGACCUGUCGCUGGUCAAUUGCUUUGUUAUAAGUCCCCUACCGAUUGAGUUUAAGGGGACUUAAGGUUCUCACUAUGUUCGUCUGUCUGUCUGUCCACCUGUCAAUCCGGCAAAUCAGUCUUCUACAUUUUUGUUUUCAUGCUUGAAGAUAUCGAUUUGAUAUUUGGUGUAUUGUUUUAUCAUGACAAGUUACUGACCAAGUAUGAAUGUUGUUCCGGUCUGAUGAUUUUGUGCAGAGUUGUGGUCAAAUACACACAAAUAAUUAGUUUUCCGCACAUUUAUUUUGUCAUAUUUGAAGGCGUUGAUUUGAUAAUUGGUUUAUAGUUUUAUCGUGACAAGUUACAGAUCAGGUUCGAAUUGUGUUCCGGUCUGAUGAUUUUGUGCAAACUAUGGUCCUUGGACUAAGAAAAUUCAUUAAAAUAAUCAGUUGUCUGCACAUGUUUUCGUCAUGCUUGAAUAUAUUGAUUUGAUAAAUUGUAUAUAGUUUUAUCAUGACAAGUUACAGACCAAGUUCGAAUUGCGUUCCAGUAUGAUGAUUCUGCGCAAAAAAUUGAAAACAACACGUUUAAUAAUUUCAUGCGUCCGAAGCGCCUUUCUGCAAAGUUAUGGUUCUUGGACUGAGAAAAUGCACUCAAAUAAUCAGUUUUCCGCAUAUUUGUUCGUCUUACUUGAAGAUAUCGAUUUGACAAUUGGUAUAUAGUUUUAUCAUGACAAGUUACAGAUCAAGUUCGAAUUGUAUUUCAGCCUAAUGAUUUUGUUCAAAGUUAUGGUCCUUGGACUAAGAAAAUUCCCCCAAAUAAUCAGUUUUCCGCAAUUAUUUUUUUGUUUUUGUUAUUGCUUGAAGAUAUUGAUUUGAUAAUUUGUACAUAGUUUUAUCAUGGUAAGGUACAUAUCAAGUUCAUAUUUUGUUCCAGUCUGCUGAUUUUUGUGCUGAGUUUUGGUCCUUGGACUUAAUAUUCUAUAAAUUCACACACAUUAUCAGUUUUCCUCAAUUUUUUGUUGUUGUCAUGCUUGAAGAUAUUGCUUUAAUAAUUGGUAUAUAGUUUUAUCAUGACAAGUAAUUGCUCAAGUUUCGAGUUUUGUUCCGGUUUGGUGAUUUUGUGCAGAGUAAUGGUCCCUGGACUUAAUAAAAAUUUACUUAAUAAUCAGUUUUCCACAUUUUUUUUUCUCGUCAUGCUUGAAUAUAUUGACUUGAUAUUUGUUCUAUAGUUUACACCAUGACAAGAUAUAGAUCCAGUUAAUAUUUUGUUCAAGUACAAUGAAUUAUUAACCGGUAGUGGCUAUGUAUUGCAAUGCAUUACUUUCAGAAUGCUUGUUUUGAUAGAACUCCUUUCUCUAGAUAUCAGUUUAGGAGUCCUAAAAUAGUCACUGAAUAUUUUCGGAUUAAGUCUAGGGAUACAAAGUUCUCGUUUCUUCAGGAAAGGCGCUGCUACAGAGCUGCCAUAAAUGGUUGACCUGAUUCUAAACCUCAGGCAAUGUGUAGAUGGAAGUCUAUGUCAUUUCAUUCAUAUAUUCAAAUACAACAAUGGGUAUAACUCUUUGAAUUUUUUCUAAUUUUAUGUUUAGAACUUGUAAUUACUUUAGUAAUACUAACCGUUAUGUAAGAUUAGCAGUUUCACCAGUAAUCAUUAGAGUUUGGUUUCCACCCUUGUAGAAAACGAAUUUAUUCAAGUUCGGAAUAUACCAGGUGGCAUUCAUCUUGUACAAGAUUAAACUGGAAUUCGGUUUUCAAUAUCUCUAAUUUUACACAUAUGUAGAUACGCGGAAUUGAUUGAGUUGACAAUACGACAGGAGUAUAACAUAUAAGAUGUGGGAAAAUUCUGUGAAUAUAGUUUCUGUUCUUUUACUGAAUAUCAGAUUGUUGUGGUCUUAAGUUUGCCAAAUAAACAUGACAUUAUUCCGUAGUAACAGAAACAAUGAUUAGAACCAGAAAGAGGAUAAUCAGCUGGCUGGCUAGUUUGAUCAUUCGUCAAGGGGGAUAUUGCAAUCAAUACAUACGAUACUCCUAUGUAUCUCCCAAUUCCAUAUUUAAAUGCCAAGAUGGUGAACAUUUGACUCAUAUUGGUAAUACAUUUUGCUUACCACAUUUCAAGGAGCGGUAGAAGCCUUUCUUGUCUACACACCACAUACUUUCCACAAUGUGUAUUAAGAAAUUGCAUGAUAUUCAUUAGAAUUCAGUUAUCGUUAGGGUUUAAAUAUAUGGAUCCUUUAUAUUGUAUUUGGCUCACAGCUUCUACGCAGCUCUAUCCGCUUUUAAUGGCGGUUGACCCGACAGUCAUUUAUGACUGUCUUGGUCAAUUUGGCACAUUUCGCUGCGUUUCCUUUAAAUAUGCGUUAUUUGGCGUCAUAUUUCAUUUAGCAUCCAAAACAUUUGAUAUUGUGGGUCUCUGUAUCCCAGGACCACCACACAAAAAUUUACGAAUCUCUGUUUCCCAGGAUUCAUUUAAUUGGAUGCUUCAUUUAUUGUAAAUAAUUAGUUAUCUAGUUAUCUAUCUACAUGUAUCUAUCUAGUUAUCUUUUUGUAGUCUGCCAAUAUGAAAGGUGACUACGUUUAAUUAAUUAUCUAUUUACUAUAUAUAUAUCUUAAUUAUUUAUCUAUUCAGUUAUCUAGUUAUCGUGUCGUAGUUUGCCAAUAUGAAAGGUGACUACGUUCAUCCAAAUAUCUAUUUACUAUACAUAUAUAUAUCUUAACUGUUUACCUAGUUAUAUGUGUUUAUAAUUUUAUAAUAAAGCUGUGGCCAAAUACUGCCAA